GUCUCGGAGACUACAAUACUUAGAGGCAUAUUUCCCAAAUAGUAGCAGCAUGCUCUCCUCAAAAAUCCAAAUAAACAUAUUCCCAACAAAAAAGUAAACCUAGUAACCCAUGCCCGAUGAAACCCCAGUUUUCAAAUUUUGAUUUGUGUAAGAAUACUAGAAAAUAUCAGUCUACCAACGGGAGCCAGCCCGACAGCAUCAACACAAAAAAACAACAAAAAUGUAAAAAAUUUAUUUUUUUUUCGUACCAGUUUUGUAAAUAUGUAAAUAAUUCUAAUUAGUUUUAAGUCUAAAGUGUGAAUUUAGUUUUAAGUUUAACAACAAAAAAAAACAGUUCCUCGGAGUCGAGCAGAGCAUACAGAUGAAGGAACAACAAUUAGGGGCAGUACAGCAGCACACACACCUCAGGAACAGUUCGCCAUUAUUCAGCCACAACCAACCAGCAAUUCAGCCUAACCAGCCCCAACAAAUCAGCGAUCAACACAAUGGAACAUAAAACAACCAGAGAACAAACUACACAUAAGAAGCAUUCAAGCAGUGAAACUAAUGAUAACCGAUGACGACUUGGAAACGACUUGGAUUUGAAGUGUGGAGUAGGCCUACUGGGGAUACCACGUAAAAAAAAAACGCGCCCAGAUCUUUACCAAAUGUUGGUGGUGUGGAAAAGAGUUCAUUAAACUGUCCAAAUAUAAACGUAUAGUACGAAUAAAUAAAG